GUGUAAAUUUAGAUUUCUUUCAAGUUGGGUGUAACUGGUGUGAAAUGGCUAGCUAGUUAGCGGGGUGCGCGCUAAAAGCAUUUCAAUUGGUGACGUUACUCGCUCUGAGACCUGUAAGUAGUUGGUCCCCUUGCUCUGCAAGGGCCGCAGCUUUUGUGGAGCGAUGGGUAACAAUGCUUCGAGGGUGGCUGUUGUCUAUGUGUGCAGGUUCGAGCCCAGGUAGGGGCGAGGAGAGGGACGGAAGCAAAACUGUUACACAGGCACCAUCUUAAAAAGGAGAAUCUCCUCUUUGUAAUUAUGUACGUCUGGGCAAAGAGCUCGUUUGUCAUUGAUCGCUAGACCAGAAAUAGUCAGAAGUUUUUAUUUUUUCCCUACUUUUUCAUGACGCAGACAAACACAGUUAACACCAUCGAGGUGCAGAUGUUUACUUUCUACACAAGUUUUUUUUUCCAGUUUCGUCCAAUGAACAGAUUGUAGUGGUAAAAUAAAAAGGGAUACAUUUUUGGGGGAAUUCUAAGCAUCACUCCAAUCAAAACGAUUCUAUUAAUUUUCUAUGGGCUCGUGCUAGUGUUCCAGUUAAGCCAAUGUUCUUAAACCGUUUUUCAGCCUUGGGUGAAUUUUGACUCAUUCUAUUGUCCAGCCUAUAGAUAGCCAGAGCGAAUUUACGAAAGCACAACGACUAUACCAUUAAGCUAAGCUAAGAAUGACAAGAAUAAUCAAGUUAACAUACUGGCAAGUUUGAUGUAUAACUACUAGCGUUAGGUAGCUAGCUAACAUACUGGUACAUACUGCUGUAAUGAUAUGCUACGUGGUUUGUAAGGAAAGUGUAGCUAGCAAAUUGUCAGCCAACAUAACGUGUAAGGUAACUUAUUGGAAAAGUCAUAACUUUUCAUUGAGUAGCAAGUUAUCCCUUGGUCGUUAGGGCAAAUCUGGUCUGUGAUAGGAGGGGGGGUUUCACACCUAGCUCAGCUAUUAGACUAUUCUUUAGUAAAUGUUGAAUAGUCUAUUGUUCAGCUAUUAGCCCUCCUCCCCAACUUGCAACAAAUUGCUGUUCCCAUCUCAUUCCUUUCCCUCUUACACACGUCAUCAUUCUGCUCCUGAGUGGCUCGCUUGUGGGCGUGCUGGCAGGAUAUGGCAGCAUCUUUGGUUGUGCGUCAAGAAUUCUGCAUACAGUAGCACGUUUGUAUGAAGGUGUGGUUAUUCACGGGAAAAUUGUUAUAUGCUAUGGAGGUACAUAUGUGUCUUCUUGUCGAGAGCAAUUUUAUUUAUUUUUUCAAUCAAAAAUAAUUGUUCUGAAAGCAACAUUUUUUCAACACAAAGGAAGUCAAAGUGGACACCUACGAAGAUGGCAUCUCAGGUAAGCAGCACUGGGCUGUAUUGACGGAUCCUACAAAUGACAUCUGCUGCUUUAGAUUGAACAGUCAUAUCUCAAUUAUUGUUUUCAUAUCUACAAAAAAAUAAGCUAUUUUCUUUACUUUCAGAGAGCGAGCUGACCAAGGGGUUGAAAAUGUAGAUAUUUCCAGAUGUUCACUAUCCGAGUAACAGGCCGUGGAAGCUUUAUUGCAGGCAAAAGUGUCCAUAUCUAGAGGGUAUAUCAGCUGUUUUGGUGAACCGCUCUCGCAUCUGAACUGGCUGACAAAGAAGGCACAUCAUGAUCAUAGGUGAGAUGUCACUUGGUCGGGUCAAUCAUUAAAGAGAUGUAGUAGUCCCAGAGUUAAUGAUCCAAGGUCAGUUUUGCAUUUCACGUUCUGAUUUAAGAUGACUAAGAAUAAAAUCAGAAAAGUUAGAAAAAAGAAAAAACAGGAUUAAUCAUAAAAAUAAAAUAAAUAUUUUUAAAAAACAGUACACCCUUUGGAAGUCCUCUACACAAUAUGUUGCUGCCUGUGCCAUGUCCCAUAGCAGUCUCUUUCUGAUGUAAAGCAGAGGCAAACUGAACAAGUGGUGCAGGUCAUGCGACACAGAACACAACGACGCCUCCAUGCUGUGCCCUUUUGGCCCUGAGGCACAGUCAUGCCUGCAGUAAUGAACUGUGGCAUAUGAACACCACUGGAGGCAGGAGUAGAGGUGGCAGAGGUAGAGCGGGCAGCUUGGCACCGGGGGCUCUCAGUCGGAGUUGCUAUCACUGUGAAAGAAAACAUUAAAAAUAUAUUUGUAUUGUAUGAGCCUUUUAUCGUCACAUAAAAUAAACAGAUAUGUAUUGUAUAGAGCAGAGGGAACAGUCACUAAGGUGAAGUGCUGUUCCAUUUAACCCCGGCCAUUGUUGUGGGCCUGCCCUCCCCUGAACAGCACCCAAUGGCUAUUUCAUAUGGAAAUGGAGAGGAGCAGUGUCACACCCUGACCAUAGUUUGCUUUGUAUGUUUCUAUGUUUUGUUUGGUCAGGGUGUGAUCUGAGUGGGCAUUCUAUGUUGGAUGUCUUGAUUGUCUGUUUCUGUGUUUGUGCCUGAAAUGGUUCUCAAUCAGAGGCAGGUGUUAGUCAUUGUCUCUGACUGGGAGCCAUAUUUAGGUAGCCUGUUUUGUGUUGGGUUUUGUGGGUGGUUGUCUCCUGUGUCAGUGUUUGUACCACACGGGACUAUUUCGGGUUUUCACGUUUCUUGUUUUGUAAUUUAUUCAUGUAUAGUUUCAUUAUUAAAGAACCAUGAAUUAUGA